rnacentral:tRNA from 15 species
CGCGGGGUGGAGCAGUCUGGUAGCUCGUCGGGCUCAUAACCCGAAGGUCGCAGGUUCAAAUCCUGCCCCCGCUACCA